AGCGCAGACGGUUAUUUAAGCAAGAUGUGAAAGCCCCGGGCUCAACCUGGGAACUGCGUUUUGAACUGGGUAACUAGAGUGUGUCAGAGGGGGGUAGAAUUCCACGUGUAGCAGUGAAAUGCGUAGAGAUGUGGAGGAAUACCGAUGGCGAAGGCAGCCCCCUGGGAUAACACUGACGUUCAUGCUCGAAAGCGCGGGUAGCAAACA
rnacentral:rRNA from 1 species